rnacentral:rRNA from 1 species
CGCCCAGACUCCUACGGGAGGCAGCAGUGGGGGAUAUUGCACAAUGGGGGAAACCCUGAUGCAGCGACGCCGCGUGUAGGAAGACGGUCCUCUGGAUUGUAAACUACUGUCCCCAGGGACGAAGAUGACGGUACCUGGGGAGGAAGCUCCGGCUAACUACGUGCCAGCAGCCGCGGUAAUACGUAGGUGGCAAGCGUUAUCCGGAAUUAUUGGGCGUAAAGAGCGCGCAGGUGGUUAAUUAAGUCUGAUGUGAAAGCCCACGGCUUAACCGUGGAGGGUCAUUGGAAACUGGUUGACUUGAGUGCAGAAGAGGGAAGUGGAAUUCCAUGUGUAGCGGUGAAAUGCGUAGAGAUAUGGAGGAACACCAGUGGCGAAGGCGGCUUCCUGGUCUGCAACUGACACUGAGGCGCGAAAGCGUGGGGAGCAAACAGGAUUAGAUACCCGUGUA